rnacentral:misc_RNA from 2 species
AGUUGUUCUGGAUUGGCGUUGCAUGGCGGGCUCCCGGUGUUUCGGCAUCGCUAACCGUUGUGGCGCGGUCUUUUCAGCAUGCCUCCUGUUGUGCCCGCGCGGCUCGGGAGGAUCAAUUGUUUAUUGGUCGUCUGUGUGGAUCUACCCUAGUGCGGAACGAUGUUUGGUUCCAUCAUGGUUUUUUGUUCGCCCCGUUGAUAUUCGUUAUCAUCGGUGCGACUGCGUUGUGGGCUUAAUUCAUGUGUUGUUGAGGGCGAGGGCCUCGUUGGUGCAUUUGGAUUUUGUCGGCUCUCACGGAUGCUGUACCGUUUGCGGAAGUCGUGGGCUUUUGGACCCCCGAUUUUCACGGGAUGUCCCUUGCGUUGGAUCAUUGCUCCGUCGCUACGCGAUCUUGUUGUGGGUGUUGGUAUGUCGGCACGGUGCGUGCGGGGCGUGCUCUUGUGCAAGUGAGAUGUUUGUCCGUCUGAAAGAGCGAUUGCCGCUCUCGCAUCAUUCCAUAAUGAUGUGGCGGCUCUUGUUUAUGACGUGCUACCUGGUUGAUCCUGCCAGUAGUCA